UGAUCUGCGGCAUCUGCCGAAUCAAUUCUGAUUAUCAACUUAUUCUUUAUCUGUGGUACUGGCGCGCCAUCAGAGACCAGGUUGCGCUCUUUUCGGUAUCGACAUGCCGUGUAAUUAAUUUAAUUUUAAAACUGAACAACUAGGCAACUAAUAUUAAUUUUUUAAAAUGAAACGUGAAACCUUGGUGAUCUACUGUUUAAGCGCUGUUUCCCGGGUGCUGGAAUAGCAGAUGCCAUAGACUAGGCACAUAACAUGCCAAGCUGCCUUCCUGCCUUCUCCUCAGUGUAGAAGUUGGACUGACGUCCAUUUGGGGAUUUCUGUUGUUUUGGGUGAUGCUGCGGUGGUGGCUUCUUGGUAAAGAUGAGAUACAAAUUUGGAGGGAGAAUAUUACGUAAAGUUUCGUCACUACGCCAUCUAGCGGUCCAAUAUAGAACUGCAUGCAAAAUUCCCUUUUCUUGCCCCAAAAGUCAAAACGCGAAAUUUUCUUCUCUUAUUCGUCAGAACGUGUCUGAGAAGUUGUAACAUAGUACAUAGGUAAAUCAUUUCAUCUGAUGAGUCAACAAUCAAUGAUCAACAAUCAAUGAGUCAACAAAUUAGCUAGCUUCAAAAAUUACCAAUGAAUUCAUACUUCAUUAGGUAAACUCGAGUGAUUUCGUCUGUAACUUGUCGGUGAUGUGGUCUAUUCCGUGUACAUGUUGGAUAACCUUAAUGUUUUUCAUCAACUUACAGCAGAGGAACCGGGAAAGUCGUGCAGCCUACCGUCACCUAUUUUGUUCAAACUCAUUGUAUUCUACUGAAUGUGUCAUCAAAAUGAUACAGAUCACCGACCCCAGUAUGUGAGUAUGGACUCUCAUUCCAUCUUCUAGAGAAACUUUGAUAACUGAUUGGUGGUUUCAUGUGUUUCUAAAUUGGCAUGACUGAAUUU